UUUGAUCAUGGCUCAGAUUGAACGUUGGCGGCAGGCCUAAUACAUGCAAGUCGAGCGGAAACGAUGGGAGCUUGCUCCCAGGCGUCGAGCGGCGGACGGGUGAGUAACGCGUAGGAAUCUACCCAGUAGCGGGGGAUAGCCAGUGGAAACGCUGAUUAAUACCGCAUACGCCCCACGGGGGAAAGGCCGGGAUCUUCGGACCGGUCACUAUUGGAGGAGCCUGCGUUGGAUUAGCUAGUUGGUGAGGUAAAGGCUCACCA
rnacentral:rRNA from 14 species